GGCGGCGUGCCUAAUACAUGCAAGUAGAACGCUGAAGGAGGAGCUUGCUCUUCUGGAUGAGUUGCGAACGGGUGAGUAACGCGUAGGUAACCUGCCUGGUAGCGGGGGAUAACUAUUGGAAACGAUAGCUAAUACCGCAUAAGAGUAGAUGUUGCAUGACAUUUGCUUAAAAGGUGCAAUUGCAUCACUACCAGAUGGACCUGCGUUGUAUUAGCUAGUUGGUGGGGUAACGGCUCACCAAGGCGACGAUACAUAGCCGACCUGAGAGGGUGAUCGGCCACACUGGGACUGAGACACGGCCCAGACUCCUACGGGAGGCAGCAGUAGGGAAUCUUCGGCAAUGGACGGAAGUCUGACCGAGCAACGCCGCGUGAGUGAAGAAGGUUUUCGGAUCGUAAAGCUCUGUUGUAAGAGAAGAACGAGUGUGAGAGUGGAAAGUUCACACUGUGACGUAUCUACCAGAAAGGACG
rnacentral:rRNA from 1 species